rnacentral:rRNA from 1 species
UACCAUGGUGGUAACGGGUAACGGGGUGUUAGGGCACGACACCGGAGAGGGAGCCUGAGAAACGGCUACCACAUCCAAGGAUGGCAGCAGGCGCGCAAAUUACCCAAUCCCGACACGGGGAGGUAGUGACAAUAAAUAACAAUACGGGGUUCUUUAGGAUCUCGUAAUUGGAAUGAGUACAAUUUAAAUCUCUUAACGAGGAACAAUUGGAGGGCAAGUCUGGUGCCAGCAGCCGCGGUAAUUCCAGCUCCAAUAGCGUAUAUUAAAGUUGUUGCAGUUAAAAAGCUCGUAGUUGAAUUUCGGGGUCAGUAGGUCGGUCGUGCCACUGGUAUGAACUGGUUUUACUGAUUCCUCCCUCUUGAAGAACUGUAAUGCCAUUAAUUUGGUGUUGCAGGGAAUCAGGACUGUUACUUUGAAAAAAUUAGAGUGUUUAAAGCAGGCUUUAGCUUGAAUACAUUAGCAUGGAAUAAUGAAAUAGGACGUUUGAUCCUAUCUUGUUGGUUUCUAGGAUUGACGUAAUGAUUAAUAGGGAUAGUUGGGGGCAUUAGUAUUCAAUUGUCAGAGGUGAAAUUCUUGGAUCUAUUGAAGACUAACUACUGCGAAAGCAUUUGCCAAGGAUGUUUUCAUUAAUCAAGAACGAAAGUUAGGGGAUCGAAGACGAUCAGAUACCGUCGUAGUCUUAACCAUAAACUAUGCCGACUAGGGAUCGGAUGAUGUUAAUUUUUUAAUGACUCAUUCGGCGCCUUACGGGAAACCAAAGUGUUU